rnacentral:rRNA from 1 species
GAUCAAAGAGCUUGCUCGGAGAGAGUCUUGGAAUGCUUAGUGGCGGACGGGUGAGUAACGCGUGGGUAACCUGCCUCGACACAGGGGGAUAACAGUUGGAACGACUGUUAAUACCGCAUAAGCGCACAGUAUCGCAUGGUACAGUGUGAAAAACUCCGGUGGUGUGAGAUGGACCCGCGUCUGAUUAGCUAGUUGGUGAGGUAACGGCCCACCAAGGCGACGAUCAGUAGCCGGCCUGAGAGGGUGUACGGCCACAUUUGGGACUGAGACACGGCCCAAACUCCUACGGGAGGCAGCAGUGGGGAAUAUUGCACAAUGGGGGGAAACCCUGAUGCAGCGAACCGCCGCGUGAGUGAUGAAGUAUUUCGGUAUGUAAAGCUCUAUCAGCAGGGAAGAUAAUGACGGUACCUGACUAAGAAGCACCGGCUAAAUACGUGCCAGCCGCCGC